GGCGGAGAAUCUUUGGAACAAGUAGCAGACUUCAUCACAGCAGGAGCCGUGAGGCAAGAAGCUCUGGGAUCAAUUAAAAUGCCAGGCUUUUCCAGGCUGGUUUCCAGCGCAUCUGUGCAUGAUUCCACAUAAAUUUAGGGAAUUAGAGAUCAGACAAAGUUAUAAGACAGCUGUUGAUGUCCCACUCACCAGUUAGGAGGAUUGAGAAGAAGCUGCUUUCCAGGAAAUCCCAGUCGACUUCCAGAUAGAUCUCUUUGGUCAAAAAUGUGUCACAGCUCCAACUCUUUUUUUGUAAGACAUGAACUACGGAGUCCCCAUCCAAGGCACUGAAUGAGAACAUCUGGAACACUCAAUAAAUAUUUCAUCAACAAAUAAAUGAGGGCUUUAA
rnacentral:lncRNA from 1 species